AACGAACGCUGGCGGCAUGCCUAACACAUGCAAGUCGAACGAGACCUUCGGGUCUAGUGGCGCACGGGUGCGUAACGCGUGGGAACCUGCCCUUAGGUUCGGAAUAACUCCCCGAAAGGGGUGCUAAUACCGGAUAAUGUCUUCGGACCAAAGAUUUAUCGCCUUUGGAUGGGCCCGCGUUGGAUUAGCUAGUUGGUAGGGUAAAAGCCUACCAAGGCGACGAUCCAUAGCUGGUCUGAGAGGAUGAUCAGCCACACUGGGACUGAGACACGGCCCAGACUCCUACGGGAGGCAGCAGUGGGGAAUAUUGGACAAUGGGCGAAAGCCUGAUCCAGCAAUGCCGCGUGAGUGAUGAAGGCCUUAGGGUUGUAAAGCUCUUUUACCCGGGAUGAUAAUGACAGUACCUGGAGAAUAAGCUCCGGCUAACUCCGU
rnacentral:rRNA from 1 species